AGUGACAGCGCCCAGGGGAACAAACGCCGCUUGUUCCCGGCUGGCCGCACUUCCGCCUCCUCCCCUCCAUUCAAUCCCAGCGCCGCCGAUGCUCCCUCCAUCUCCAUGCCAUGCGGGCUCCAAACACUUUUACCUCGGCGAGGGGAACAGGCAGGAGAAAGCAUGUGAUCACACGCAGUCGAGAACCUUGUUUUCCUUGGACUGAAACUAUUCCUUUCACCUGUGUGAAAGAAGUUUUCAUCUGAGGCAAAUGAAAAAUAUUCCAUUCCCACCACCCUCCACUGUGCCAGCUCUGUAAAGCAUGAAAGGAAUGAGGCUGGAGAGAAACCAUCUGAAAAGAAAUCAACCCUUUGUGGAGAAGGCUGAUUGAGCCCCAAUUUGCAGAGGUUAAUACAGCUGCACAAUCCAGCAUCCAAGCAGGAGCCUGUGGUGCCAGUGUGGGUAGUUCUGCUGGGCAGGCUGUGCCAGGAACAGUUGGUUUGUUUGGUGCCUGGACACCGUGGCACUGAUGGAGCUGCACUUUCACCUGUGGUAAGAACUUCAUAUCCAAAAAUCUCAGAUUUAAACAGUAAGGUAAUUUUUUAGUCCCACAUCUGUAUUUUAAAAGUGCAGGCUUACAGAAAGUCUGAAAGCUGUCAUCUCACUGAUCACUGAAAUCAGAUUCUGGUUCACAUAGAGAAAAUGUGCCAAAAAGGAAGAACCUGUUCUUACACUUGCUGCCACUACAAAGUUUUAUCAGACAAGGAUGACACAAGGUGGCAUUUUCACACUUCAGGUGCAUCUGGAGUCAGUGGCAGAGUAACAGAUCCACGCUGCUGUUAUCCAGAGAUCUCAUCUUCCCAGCCCUCUCAGCCAACCUUCUCCUUACCUCAUGUAACACACCACUCUAAGUAAGAAAUUUAAGGUACCCAGCAGCCC